CUAAGGUCCCGGGAACCAAGAAUACUGAUUGUGAAUUCACAGUGCCCACAUAACCAGCAGGAAAAAAACCCCCAAAUUUGUUAAACAACCAGUUGGUUUUUUUUUUCUAAAUGAUGUAAAAAUCCCGAGUUAACUUCGUGCUACUUCCUUGGAGCAUGGAGAGCGUCGGUCACUCGGCGCAAUGUCAUGUGGCUGAGGGCGCGGCAGCCGUGAUUCGGGCUUUGAGCCAUGAAUGAAGACCUUCAGGGAAGACGUGCGUUCCCUGCUCUGUGGAGCAGAGCGUUGCCAGCGCUUGCAGUGAUGCAGCAGGUGGGGGUUUGGGAGAGUUAUUUCCCCCGCCCCAGGAAGGGUGGUGAGCUCAGAGCCCAGCGCUGAACCAUCCAAAGGCAUCCUGCAGGGUGGCAAGGGGCCAAGAUGGUCCAGGCAGAAGGAGGGAGGACAGAGCAGGCUUGGGGGACACUAGGAGAUGGGCUUGGUGUCUGGCAAGUGCGGGGUCCAUGGGAGGUGCUAGGGAGCGAGGUUGGUGAAGACACAGGGACUUGAGAUCAUGGAAGAACUUGCAAGACACACUAAGGACUGUGGACUUUAGCCUGAGGGAUUCAGCGGGCGACCCAUGCACUUGAACCACCAGGACGCUGUCUCUGAGAUGAGCAACUCGUGGGCUGUAGCACUGACACUGGGAGAACUUCAUUAACUCUGCCCAGAGCCUGGUGAGCGCCCGGCGAUCCAUGGACCACGAGGAGUAAAUCACCCUGCCCCUCGACCCUGGGGUCUUACCUCUGCAGAGAUUGUGAGGUUAAACGGAUUGGGAAACAUGAUUGGAAAUUAGAAUUCGAAAGCAAUAUUGGUGCAGCUAUACCCUCAGACACGGCGGUGGCCACUCAUUUAUUUCAUUUAACAAAAUUUAUUUUGUUCGGUGGUUUCUCAACUAGACAAAGUGUCUGGAGACAUUUUUGGUCAUCAAAACCGGAGUGGGGGUGCUACUGGCAUUGCAUCUACUGGGUAGAGACCAGGAGUGCUGCUCAGCAUCCUGCAGGGCACAGGGCAGCCCCCCAACAAUUAUCCGGCCCCAAAUGUCAAUAAUGCUGAGCCUGGGAAACCUUGAUUCAGGGCCUGGUAGCUUCUGGACAUCGUGCCAAUUCCUGGGAAUAUUGAGGGAAAUUGGACUUAACUGGUGAUCUUGAAGAGCUUGUGAGCUACAGCAAGGACAGAGUUGCGUACACACAGCUAGAGGUCACUGAAGAGCUGCGGGCUUGAGUUUCUAGAAACAGGAGCACCUCCCCUUGAGCCCAUGCAUGGACUAGGGUGUUUGCUUUGCCUUUUCUCACGUGAAAAAACAAGCCACGUCCUUCCUGCCUCGCUGGGCCAGCUCCUCUUUCAGCCUGCAUGAAGGGAGACCAGCGAGGGCAAGUUGGAACGGGAAAAAAAAUUCCAGGGGAAAACAGCCAAGAAAAGAGAGGCCGAAUUUAGAGUGCUGUAGCUGUCCUUUAACUUGAUUUCUAAAUCACAUUUUAUCUGGAGAGGCAGGCAAGGACAUUGACUUAGUUUUUUGCAACCCAUGAGUUCUAGGUUAAAGCUGACACAUAGGAGGGGCUUGAUAAUCAUUUGUUGAGUUAGUUUGCAAUCUGGUCUUGCAUGAACUCUCCUACUCUCUCUGCUUGGUGCCCUCUCAGGGGGAAUAUUUUUACCAUGUCCAAGGUUUCCAGAUGGUGGUGUACCUCAUCCUACAGGGAGCAUGCCAUCACCAUCGAGAAGCAUCCUCUGAUGCUCUCAGCAACGCAUCCUCACGCUCCCUUUGGCCUGCUGUUGCCGUCAGGCUAGUUACUGAAGUCCCUGCUUCCUGCUGACUUUGUCGUGCUGUGGAGAGCGGGCUGCAGCUGCACUGCCAGCCGGGACCCUGACAGCUUCCCAGAUGUCUGUGCUCCAAGGACCAGGGUCCCUCCGAGGCUUGAAUGCCCCACUGCAAGGGCUCCUGCAAACUCAAGUCUGCAGCCACCUGUCUGAGACCACACUGGUUUCAGAGUCAUUUGCUGGCACUGAGUCACAGUGGCAGGUAGAGUGACAAGAUGGGGGAAGUGCAGUUGGACCCGGGGCCCAAACUGAGGCAAAAGAGUGACAUGAAUGGGGAAGAAGAUGUAAAAAUUCCUGCACGCUGGAGAAAGAUUAUGCUGGCGGACCCGCUGGGUUCCCACUGAGCACAGUUGUAAUUGGAAUGUACUCUGCAAAGUUUAUUGGGUCCUGGAGCGACUUGUUACUGAACUGGUCAAUUAAUCUAUUUUUUUGUUUUUUAAUGAGUUAGGGGAUUUCCUUUAGCAGAAAAUCACCAGGAAGCAUGACCGAAUGCCCAGAGCUCAGGGAAAGGCUGGCCUUUCCUUCUAGAAAACUCUAUUCGACAAUUAAAGCAGGAAAUGGACUCCUCCUGCUACAGGUGGCGAUUGGACUGGGCUGGGAACCAAAGAGCAAGGAUCAAUCCUGCACAGAGGCAUAGAACAAAAGAAAAUCCAAUCGCCUGCAGCAUGGUGAUCCCAUCUGGACGACUCUGAGGCUUCCCGGGCCUUCCUUGAGGAAGAAAAUGUGUGUCACCUAUCUGGCCACUGAGAGCAUGAGCUGGUGCACCAACAAGUAUUUCUGUGCCUUAAAAUCAACAGUUGUUUGGGAGCAUCCUAAAUGUCCAUCAACUAUAAUGGAUAAUAAAUGAUGAUAUAUUUAUGAAAUGGAAUACUAUACAGCAAUGAACAUGAAUAAACUGCGGCUGACCCUGGGCUGACCUUGCUGAAAAUCAGACAGAGUAUUUAAUUGUGCAGGAUGCAGAAUCACAACCUAAAAUGAAUUCAAAGCUAUGGCAAGUGUCUCAUGUGAAAUUUAAGAUGUUCUUUGGGAAUGAGUGGGACCCUGAGGCCCGGUAUGGGGACAUCCGGAUGGAUUCAGAUGAAGCUGAUAAUAUUGAAGUCCUGAGACACUUUGAUCCUUCCUUGUUGGUGGAAGAAGCUUGUCAUCCGUGUCUGAGGAGACCAGGCUCUUAUUGCUGCAGACACUGUAAUAAUCUCACACAGGGAAGUGGCCCGGCGAGGGAGGCUACCUGCCCUCCCUAAAACCUAAC
rnacentral:lncRNA from 1 species